UUCAAAGGAAAUGUAGAAUCUUCUAAUAUAGUUCAACAGUCAUCUCUUUGACCAUGUUCCCAGUGGAGAGUAAUUGAUCACCUGAAACAACGAACAGAUGGCAAAUCCUGUGGAAAGAGGGAAUAAAUUUUUAAGAAAAUACCAUUAUGUAUUUACUACACAAAUAUUACAUUUACCUCUGGUACAACUAUACCCUCCUCAGAGCACCAUAUGAGUACCAAGACAUCUGGAUCCGUUCCAAGUCGCUUUAAUUUGGAGUUGAACUGGGGCUUCAUUCUCAAAGCAAAGCGAACCAAGAGCACUCUGAAAACAUCAACAUCACUUCCAGAAUUUGUUUA